rnacentral:lncRNA from 1 species
AGACUUUAAAACAUAUUUUGAAAAGGGGCAGUGCAAUCUUUAUGAAUACAUUAAUGCUUCAAGCGUUCCUGGGCCUCGUGGGGCAUCAUUCGGCCUUGCCGCUGGCUUGCGUGCUAAAAUCCAUUGGAGGUGGUGGAAAUCUUCCAUCACUUGUUGGAGAAAGGUCAUGACAGUGGCAAAGAACAUGGAUCUUGUCAUAUCCUCGCAUAUCCUCGCAAUUUCCAUCACUUUGUGGUGAUGUAGUCUGCGAUUGCCCGUACCAUUUCCCUAAUAACACCCUUCUCUUGCAACAAACGUCCAAUUUGUUCAUCCCUUCCCUCUAGAGUUCGCUCGGCUUCCUGAUUCAAUUCCUGGAAUUUUCUCAAAUCCAUCUCCAAC